rnacentral:rRNA from 1 species
GCUCAAGUAGGUGAACCUGCGGUAGGAUCAUU